rnacentral:rRNA from 1 species
CCUACGGGGGGCAGCAGUGAGGAAUAUUGGUCAAUGGGCUUACGCCUGAACCAGCCAAGUCGCGUGAGGGAAGACUGCCCUAUGGGUUGUAAACCUCUUUUGUCAGGGAGCAACGCCGGCUACGUGUAGCCGGACUGAGAGUACCUGAAGAAAAAGCAUCGGCUAACUCCGUGCCAGCAGCCGCGGUAAUACGGAGGAUGCGAGCGUUAUCCGGAUUUAUUGGGGUUAAAGGGUGCGUAGGCGGAAUGCCAAGUCAGCGGUAAAAUCGCGGGGCUCAACCUCGCUCCGCCGUUGAAACUGGCGGUCUUGAGUGGGCGAGAAGUAUGCGGAAUGCGUGGUGUAGCGGUGAAAUGCAUAGAUAUCACGCAGAACUCCGAUUGCGAAGGCAGCAUACCGGCGCCCAACUGACGCUGAAGCACGAAAGCGUGGGUAUCGAACAGGAUUAGAUACCCCUGUAGUC